rnacentral:tRNA from 1 species
AGUGGUGCAGUGGUUAAGAGCUUGGCUGCUAACCAAAAGGUCGGUAGUUCAAAUCUACCGGCCACUG